UGGGGAAUUUUGGACAAUGGGCGAAAGCCUGAUCCAGCAAUGCCGCGUGUGUGAAGAAGGCCUUCGGGUUGUAAAGCACUUUUGUCCGGAAAGAAAUCCUUGGCUCUAAUACAGUCGGGGGAUGACGGUACCGGAAGAAUAAGCACCGGCUAACUACGUGCCAGCAGCCGCGGUAAUACGUAGGGUGCAAGCGUUAAUCGGAAUUACUGGGCGUAAAGCGUGCGCAGGCGGUUUGCUAAGACCGAUGUGAAAUCCCCGGGCUCAACCUGGGAACUGCAUUGGUGACUGGCAGGCUAGAGUAUGGCAGAGGGGGGUAGAAUUCCACGUGUAGCAGUGAAAUGCGUAGAGAUGUGGAGGAAUACCGAUGGCGAAGGCAGCCCCCUGGGCCAAUACUGACGCUCAUGCACGAAAGCGUGGGGAGCAAACAGGAUUAGAUACCCUGGUAGUCCACGCCCUAAACGAUGUCAACUAGUUGUUGGGGGACUUCAUUUCCUUAGUAACGUAGCUAACGCGUGAAGUUGACCGCCUGGGGAGUACGGUCGCAAGAUU
rnacentral:rRNA from 1 species